rnacentral:tRNA from 1 species
GGGGGCCAACCCUAAUUAUAGUGUUGGGGUUGCAUUCAAAAUAUCUAUAUUAAAUUAAACUGGCCCUUA